GCCUUCGUGGUGUAGUGGCCAGCACACUCGGCGUGUAUUUGAGAGGCCUGAGGUUCGAAUCCCGGCGAGGGCA
rfam:Stegodyphus mimosarum contig96567, whole genome shotgun sequence.